rnacentral:misc_RNA from 1 species
CCCAGAAGUUGUGUGUUCCACGCCAUGUUUACUGGCCUCCUGGCGGGGAAAUCAGAUGUUAGUGUUCCUGAUAUAGAGCCAAAUUACUUCAAACAUUUUCUCUUAUAUCUUUACACUGACAGCACAACUGUUGAUGCCGACAAAGUAACAGCUCUACUAUAUACGCCUCCAGGAAAUAUGACAUCACCGCCUUGGAAUCCCAGUGUCUGGAGUUUCUG